AGAAAAAGUGUCUCAUCCCUCA
rnacentral:siRNA from 1 species